CGCAACUGUGAUGACGAAUCACCGCCAAGGUCUGAUGUCUGUGACUGACUGGUUUUGUUCUGAGUUGUG